rnacentral:rRNA from 1 species
GCUAACGGCUGGCGGCGUGUCUUAGCCAUGCAAGUCGAGCGGACUUAUGGGGUAACUUAUAAGUCAGCGGCGGACGGCGGAGUAACACGUAGCUAACCUACCCUCUGGACGGGGAUAACCUACCGAAAGGUGGGCUAAUACCCGAUGUAGUCAUCCUGUAUAGGGGUGAUGAAAGGUGGGCUUCUGUUUACAAGCUCAUGCUGGAGGAGGGGGCUGCGGCCUAUCAGGUAGUUGGUAGGGUAAUAGCCUACCAAGCCGAUGACGGGUAGCCGGCCUGAGAGGGUGACCGGCCCGAGGGGCACUGAGAUACGGGUCCCACUCCUACGGGAGGCAGCAGGCUAGAAAUUUGGGCAAUGGGGGAAACCCUGACCCAGUGACGCCGCGUGCAGGAAGGAGCCCUUCGGGGUGUAAACUGCUGUCGUGUAGGGAGAAAGGGUACUAAGGUGAACAAUCUUAGUACUUGACGGUACUACAGGAGGAAGCCCAGGCUAACCUCGUG